rnacentral:lncRNA from 1 species
UUUUUUAUUCCAAAUAUACCCUUCAGUUUUUUUGUAUUUUAUUUAAAAUUUAACUUCUCUUCAACUUACUAUUUCAUUGGUAGUUUUUUCAUAUCUCUUUCUCUCUAUUAUCUUUAACCCUUUCAUUGUAUAUCUUCAAUACAAACUUCAAAAUAAUUAAUACAUUAUCAAUUAUGCUUUUCUUCAUCUCUUUUCCAUGUUUCUC